UACGGAGGGGGCAAGCGUUAUCCGGAAUGAUUGGGCGUAAAGCGUCCGCAGGUGGCUGUGUAAGUCUGCUGUUAAAUAGUGAGGCUCAACCUCAUAAAGGCAGUGGAAACUACACGGCUAGAGUGCGUUCGGGGCAGAGGGAAUUCCUGGUGUAGCGGUGAAAUGCGUAGAGAUCAGGAAGAACACCGGUGGCGAAAGCGCUCUGCUAGGCCGCAACUGACACUGAGAGACGAAAGCUAGGGGAGCGAAUGGG
rnacentral:rRNA from 1 species